UGUUUGAUGUUCUAACGUUGACCCGUGAUCCGGGUUGCGGACAGUGUCUGGUGGGUAGUUUGACUGGGGCGGUCUCCUCCUAAAGAGUAACGGAGGAGCACGAAGGUUGGCUAAUCCUGGUCGGACAUCAGGAGGUUAGUGCAAUGGCAUAAGCCAGCUUGACUGCGAGCGUGACGGCGCGAGCAGGUGCGAAAGCAGGUCAUAGUGAUCCGGUGGUUCUGAAUGGAAGGGCCAUCGCUCAACGGAUAAAAGGUACUCCGGGGAUAACAGGCUGAUACCGCCCAAGAGUUCAUAUCGACGGCGGUGUUUGGCACCUCGAUGUCGGCUCAUCACAUCCUGGGGCUGAAGUAGGUCCCAAGGGUAUGGCUGUUCGCCAUUUAAAGUGGUACGCGAGCUGGGUUUAGAACGUCGUGAGACAGUUCGGUCCCUAUCUGCCGUGGGCGCUGGAGAACUGAGGGGGGCUGCUCCUAGUACGAGAGGACCGGAGUGGACGCAUCACUGGUGUUCGGGUUGUCAU
rnacentral:rRNA from 1 species